rnacentral:rRNA from 1 species
UACGUAGGUGGCAAGCGUUGUCCGGAUUUACUGGGCGUAAAGAGCGCGCAGGCGGUCGUUCAAGUCGAGUGUGAAAGCCCCCGGCUCAACUGGGGAGGGUCACUUGAUACUGAUCGACUCGAAGGCAGGAGAGGGAAGCGGAAUUCCCGGUGUAGUGGUGAAAUGCGUAGAUAUCGGGAGGAACACCGAUGGCGAAGGCAGCCCCCUGGGCUGAGAUUGACGCUCAGGCACGAAAGCGUGGGGAGCAAACAGGG